AUGUCGAACAAGUUGUGUGCACACGCCUCGGCAUUCCUCCGGUGCCACCUCCUCUUUGCCGCAGCUACCGCCGACGGCGGCGGGAGGCAGCACAGCACACGGUCGCGACCUUCCAGCCGCUGUCCCUCUCAUCGCGCCUCCUCCCCGUCAUGCGACACUUCGCCAAGCGCACCGCGUCGGCUGCCUCCGCCGUCCCAUCCACGGCACUCUACACCGCUGGUCGCCAUCACCAGCAAAAAUCGCGACAGGGCUUGGAGGCGCUGUGGUCGUUGGGGCGGUAGCCGCUGGCCCAGUACCUGA
rnacentral:rRNA from 1 species